rnacentral:rRNA from 1 species
UGAGGAAUAUUGGUCAAUGGGCGAGAGCCUGAACCAGCCAAGUAGCGUGCAGGAUGACGGCCCUAUGGGUUGUAAACUGCUUUGAUGUGGGGAUAAAGUGCGUGACGUGUCAUGCAUUGCAGGUACCACAUGAAUAAGGACCGGCUAAUUCCGUGCCAGCAGCCGCGGUAAUACGGAAGGUCCGGGCGUUAUCCGGAUUUAUUGGGUUUAAAGGGAGCGUAGGCUGUCUAUUAAGCGUGUUGUGAAAUAUACCGGCUCAACCGGUGGCUUGCAGCGCGAACUGGUCGACUUGAGUAUGCAGGAAGUAGGCGGAAUUCAUGGUGUAGCGGUGAAAUGCUUAGAUAUCAUGACGAACUCCGAUUGCGCAGGCAGCUUACUGUAGCAUAACUGACGCUGAUGCUCGAAAGUGCGGGUAUCAAACAGG